rnacentral:lncRNA from 1 species
CUGAAAGGUUUUACCUCACUCGACCUAUUUGUUGGUGUUUCUACAAAUUUAAACUAGUAUAAAACAUAGACCAUAGCUGUUUGGCUUUUUUUCAGACCCAUGUUUUUUCCUAAGUCCUAGUUUCUAAGAAAUGACUGGGAUUUGCUAAAAUAUAUAUAUAUAUAUAAAUAAUAACUUACUAAUAGCUAAAUAAAAUUUCCUCUUACAACUAAUUGAGCUGGUUUUUAUGAAUGUGUCUUAAUUAUUUAAACUUGAGGCACAUUUUUGUUUUCCUUACUUCAUUGUGAAUUUCCAAGAAAAAUAUUCUCUCUCUCUCUCUCUCUCGUGUGUUUGUGUGUAUGUGUGUGUUAACUGAUUCAAACAAUUUUGAAAAUCUUGGAUUGAUAGAAAUGAUUCAUUAAUUUAUGAAAUUAUUUCAUUAAUGAUUAGGAAAGACGAAUAAUUACUAAAUUAGUAACAGAGGAGAACAUCUGCCAGCUUUUAUUAAUUGUCAUUUAAGUUACCUUAUCUACCUUCUGUGACUGGUGGAAAAAUAUCAGGCAAGAGAUGGGAAUGCUCUGCCUAAUAGGAUAGUGGCUCCUGGAAGGAGUGGGUUAUUACUAGAGAUUAUUACCUGAAGUUUACCAUAGCCAGAAAAUUAAUCAAAACAGAUGACUCAGUAACAUCUGAAGCUUCAAGUCGGCUUGACUGCAAUCUGAAAUCAUCAAGCCCAAGAGCCAAAGGAAUGGGAACAGCGAUGGGAAACUAUCUGAAUCAGAUUCUAGUGUGAUAGUGUCAGGGGCACAUGGGUCAUCUUUGAGACCUUCACACCUGUUGAGUCACCAAAAUUUGCUGUGAAUGUAAAUUUUUACUGUAAAUUAAUUUUUUCUUUUCUUUUUAAAAAGAUUUAUUUAUUAUUAUACAUAAGUACACUGUAGCUGUCUUCAGACACACCAGAAGAGGGUGUCAGAUCUCAUUACAGAUGGUUGUGAGCCACCAUGUGGUUGCUGGGAUUUGAACUCAGGACCUCUGGAAGAACAGUCAGUGCUCUUACCCGCUGAGCCAUCUCGCCAGCCCAGUAAAUUUUUACUUUAGUGAAAGUAAAAUUUAAGUUUUAGUUUUUAGUUUAGUAAAAUUUUAGGAAGCAAAUUUUUAGUUUUCUAAACUAAUUUUUUUUUCUAGUACUGGACAUCAACCCAGUGCCUUGUAUAUGCAAUGCAAGCAUUUUCUUGUACUCUGCUACCUAGCAUGUAUAUAUAAAUCUACCCAACAAAUGUUCAUUACAGCUGACAAGGGUCUUUAUAAACUCAGUGUUUCCCUUUAUCACAAUACAAUUCCCUCCUUUGCCACUUCAUGUCAUCAUAGAAUAUUGUUUUUUUCUCUAGCGGUUCAAGGUAUGUAUUUGUAUAGCAGUCACACCUUUGAUAAAAGUUACCAUCUCUUUGAUUAUAUAUUCUCAUUAUGGUAACAAAAUUAUAUUAUGACUAUUUCAAUAUAUCUGAAAGUUUCAUUAAAUUCUCAUUAACUUUGUAUAUUUCAGUCUUGCUUAUUGUGAAGCUUUUAUAAAUUGCUUCACUUUUUUCUGAAAUUGUCCUGUUGCUACAUCAUUCUGUUAAGAAAUAAAUAAGUGGCAAUAUUUUCCCCCUUUCUUCUUCCUCUAGGCUUUUAAAAUUAAUUUUAGUAUUCAUAUAUUUUUAUCAAAUCAAACAUGCAAUUCUCUAUCUGUAGAGAUUAACCUGUGAUCGAUACAAGUCAUUUUAACUAGUGUCCUUAUGAGGCUGACAGCAAGCAUAAAUCAUUGAUGUUCAGCAUUUAUAUAAGCUUUCAUUUAUGAGUAGAGUUUGUCAGUUUAUACAAUAGAAUAUAAAUUAUAAACAAGCUAUUAAUACCACAAAAGCCUUAACAUUAUUUAGCUGUUGCAAACUACAUAUGAACAACUUUAGUAAUUUUCAUGUUCUAUUUAAGUUUUAUAUGCUUCAAAUUUAUUAUUUGGGGCCUCUUAUUGUUUUUUUAUAUGGCAGCAUUCUAGGAUGGAGUGUGAAGAGAUUUCUUAGCCUCAAUCCCCAUCUGAUGCCCUAUGGGCAGUGAUGGCUUCUGUUUGAGGGACACUCAGUUUUCUAUUCGAGUCCUGGUAGAGUUAUCAUGUUCUGGUAGAAGGAUUCAAGCCCAGUAGUAUAGGUACACCAUGCCUUAUAAUGACUGAGCUAUUACAUUUAAAAAAGAAUAAAAGCAUGAAGCUGAGGAGGCAGUGAGGUGGGGGUGGAUCUGCGGAGAGUCACAUGGAGAAGUGGAGGGCAGAUUUACAUUAUAUCAAAUUUUCAAAAAAUAAUAAAAUAUUUAUAAAAUGUAAUUGAACGAACAAUAUGUGGGUUGGAAUCAAAACUCAUGUAGAACUUUCUUCAGUCACUAGAUCUGAUUGAUUGUGAAUUGAUUAUUAGCCAUUUAAACUAGUAGACUCGAGACUUACCUUAAUUAUUUAGUUGCCAAAUUUGGGAUCACAAUUGAAUAUGUCUCCUCAAAAAAUAUCUUAAAAAUUCAUAGUAAUCACUUUCACUUUCCUUUUGCCUAUUUUAAAAUAUAUGCAUUCUCUUUAAUUAAACAGCUCUGCAUCCUGUUUGUCCCAUAGGUAAAUAAAAUGUUGAGUGUGAAUAUUUAGUGAAAUAUAGUUCUUAAUAAAUUUGCUUUACUAAAAUUAUUUUUACUUUCUUAGUCUUUUUUUUUUUUAGAAAAUUAAAAGUAAAUGUAUAGAAGUAAAAAGUUUGUUUUCUAAAUCAGUGUUCUAUAUGUUGCAUAAACUGGUUCCUACUGCUGGAUUUUGUUGGCUUUCCAGUCUCAGAGCAGUGUCUGGAUUACAGGUAGAUAUUGCUGUACUAGGAUGAAAGUAGACUGUUUUAAUGAGAGAUACUUUCAAUUUCACAGGAAAGGUGAUUUCUAUUAUGUUAGGCCAAUAAUCCUAACUUUAAUGGCAUUUCAUAAUGGGUGCUGAGUUAACUGUCUGAUGCUGAAAUUAUACUAAAAAUAAUGUGGUGAUCAUGGAACCUCAAAAUAAAACAAAAUAAACUAAAAAUUUAUCACCUUUUAAAAAUCUAGUAUUAUCUUUUCAUUAACUAGAAAACAAAUGUUGAAAUGUUUAAAAAGAAAUAUUUAGCAAUAUACACAAUAAUUGAUUAAUUUCAGUUUAAUUUUUAAAAUAUUUUAUUCUUUCUUAAUGACAACUACUGUAUGAUCUGGCUCAUAAGUAGUAGCGGUAGCAGCUUUUGCAGAGCAUAUACCCCCUAAAAUCUGUGUCAAUAUACUAUUUGAGUUCCCUGAACAUCUGUUUAUUACAGUGCUACUCACAACAACUAGGUUGUGGAGACACCCCAGAUGUCUAUCCACAGACAAAUGGAUAGAGAAACCAUGGCAUGUAUACAUGGUGGAGGUUUGUUCAGCCAUAAAGAAGAAUUAAAUUAUGUCAUUUGCAAGAAAACUAAUGUAUUUAUAAUUCAUGAUGAUGAAUGCAAUAGGUCACACUAAAAAUCACGUUUUUCUAUAUUAUAUAUACAUAUAAGUGUAUACAUGCACAUUUUCAGGAGGAACUAUUUGUUUUUUUUUUAACGCAUUCUAGAAUGUAGCAGGAAAGACAAUAUUGUGGGUAGUUUGGGGUUGCAUCAGUAUAAGCAAAGAAAAAGUUAUACAAGUAUGAAAAUUUUAUAAUGAGUACAUUAUAAAAUUUGUAAUGUGUACAAUAAAUAUAUACCAAUAUGCUGUAUAAUAAAUAUAUACCAAUGAUUAAAG